CUUUGGGGUGUGACUGCGUACCUUUUGUAUAAUGGGUCAGCGACUUAUAUUCUGUAGCAAGGUUAACCGUAUAGGGGAGCCGGAGGGAAACCGAGUCUUAAUUGGGCGUUAAGUUGCAGGGUAUAGACCCGAAACCCGGUGAUCUAGCCAUGGGCAGGUUGAAGGUUGGGUAACACUAACUGGAGGACCGAACCGACUAAUGUUGAAAAAUUAGCGGAUGACCUGUGGCUGGGGGUGAAAGGCCAAUCAAACCGGGAGAUAGCUGGUUCUCCCCGAAAGCUAUUUAGGUAGCGCCUCGUGAAUUCAUCUCCGGGGGUAGAGCACUGUUUCGGCUAGGGGGCCAUCCCGGCUUACCAACCCGAUGCAAACUGCGAAUACCGGAGAAUGUUAUCACGGGAGACACACGGCGGGUGCUAACGUCCGUCGUGAAGAGGGAAACAACCCAGACCGCCAGCUAAGGUCCCAAAGUCAUGGUUAAGUGGGAAACGAUGUGGGAAGGCCCAGACAGCCAGGAUGUUGGCUUAGAAGCAGCCAUCAUUUAAAGAAAGCGUAAUAGCUCACUGGUCGAGUCGGCCUGCGCGGAAGAUGUAACGGGGCUAAACCAUGCACCGAAGCUGCGGCAGCGACACUGUGUGUUGUUGGGUAGGGGAGCGUUCUGUAAGCCUGUGAAGGUGUGUCGUGAGGCAUGCUGGAGGUAUCAGAAGUGCGAAUGCUGACAUAAGUAACGAUAAAGCGGGUGAAAAGCCCGCUCGCCGGAAGACCAAGGGUUCCUGUCCAACGUUAAUCGGGGCAGGGUGAGUCGACCCCUAAGGCGAGGCCGAAAGGCGUAGUCGAUGGGAAACGGGUUAAUAUUCCCGUACUUGGUGUUACUGCGAAGGGGGGACGGAGAAGGCUAUGUUGGCCGGGCGACGGUUGUCCCGGUUUAAGCGUGUAGGUGUGUGUUCCAGGUAAAUCCGGUU
rnacentral:rRNA from 1 species